AUUGUUCAUAUUCAUGCUUGUAUUUAUAAAUAUCGGCCUUAACUGUGGUGCGAAGCCAACCUUUAUACGUAGGAUUAAAUACUCUUCUAAUAUAAUGAAUCCAUGCAGGAUUAGAAGUAAAAGAAUAAGGCAAACACAUACAGUAAUCAUUUUAGCUAAUACUUCACGAUCCUUACUUGGAUCGUAAUAUAAUAUACCUCCGGUGACUGUUUAUUCAUGGUUGAACUAGAUUUGAACCAGUACUUGGGUUAACUGUAGAAUCAGCACUUGUCCUCCCCUCUUGUUGCGCUUUCAAUUGCAAAUAUCUAGCCUUAU
rnacentral:lncRNA from 1 species